GUGCAGCGACGACGUCUCGAGCAGGCCUCUUCAGUUGUUGGUUCAAGUGCGAGCGCGCCUUGGCCGAAGUCGGUUUCCUGUGCUGAAUUCCUACCGAAUGGCAAUCUUUCGGCUACCAUCGUCCCGCACUUCUCCUUUCUUCGCAUCUCCGCACGGAGAUGCGGCGCGGGGAGGACACCAAAGCCCCCGUCGUGUUUCGCAAUCCGCGCCGUCCUCCGCACGGUGCUCGGGUUGCCGACCCACGACGUCGUGCUCGAUCUCUCGGAUGCGGAAAACCAAGCGGCCACGAGGCCACGGCCUCCGUUGUCCCUUAGAAGGGCGUUCUACGCUCCCUGCGGACGACUGUCGAUCGGGUCUUGCUCCGGAGCCCCCGUGGCUCGGAUCAUGCCCGGCCGGCGUCGACGAGGAAUGCUACCUGGUUGAUCCUGCCAGUAGUCAUAU
rnacentral:misc_RNA from 1 species